rnacentral:rRNA from 1 species
UACGGGGGGGGCAAGCGUUGUUCGGAAUUACUGGGCGUAAAGGGCGCGUAGGCGGUUUGCUAAGUCGGAUGUGAAAACUCUGGGCUCAACCCAGAGCCUGCAUCCGAAACUGGCAGGCUAGAGCUCUGGAGGGGGUAGCGGAAUUCCUGGUGUAGCGGUGAAAUGCGUAGAUAUCAGGAGGAACACCGGUGGCGAAGGCGGCUACCUGGACAGAAACUGACGCUGAGGCGCGAAAGCUAGGGGAGCAAACAGG